CACGUAGGGCGCGAGCGUUAUCCGGAAUUAUUGGGCGUAAAGAGCUCGUAGGCGGCCUGUUGCGUCCGCUGUGAAAGCCCGGGGCUUAACCCCGGGUCUGCAGUGGAUACGGGCAGGCUAGAGGUAGGUAGGGGAGAAUGGAAUUCCCGGUGUAGCGGUGAAAUGCGCAGAUAUCGGGAGGAACACCGGUGGCGAAGGCGGUUCUCUGGGCCUUACCUGACGCUGAGGAGCGAAAGCGUGGGGAGCGAACAGG
rnacentral:rRNA from 1 species